rnacentral:rRNA from 1 species
ACGGAAGGCAGCAGUGGGGAAUAUUGGACAAUGGGGGAAACCCUGAUCCAGCGACGCCGCGUGAGUGAAGAAGUAUUUCGGUAUGUAAAGCUCUAUCAGCAAGGAAGAAAAUGACGGUACUUGACUAAGAAGCUCCGGCUAAAUACGUGCCAGCAGCCGCGGUAAUACGUAUGGAGCAAGCGUUAUCCGGAUUUACUGGGUGUAAAGGGAGCGUAGACGGCAAAGCAAGUCUGAAGUGAAAUCCCGGGGCUCAACCCCGGAACUGCUUUGGAAACUGUUUAGCUAGAGUGCAGGAGAGGUAAGCGGAAUUCCUAGUGUAGCGGUGAAAUGCUUAGAUAUUAGGAGGAACACCAGUGGCGAAGGCGGCUUACUGGACUGUAACUGACGUUGAGGCUCGAAAGCGUGGGGAGCAAACAGGAUUAGAUACCCUGGUA